AAUGAACGCUGGCGGCAUGCCUUACACAUGCAAGUCGAACGGCAGCAUGACCUAGCUUGCUAGGUUGAUGGCGAGUGGCGAACGGGUGAGUAAUGCAUCGGAACGUUCCUUUUAGUGGGGGAUAACGUAGCGAAAGUUACGCUAAUACCGCAUAUUCUCUGAGGAGGAAAGCAGGGGACCUUCGGGCCUUGCGCUAGAAGAGCGGCCGAUGUCGGAUUAGCUAGUUGGUGAGGUAAAGGCUCACCAAGGCAACGAUCCGUAGCGGGUCUGAGAGGAUGAUCCGCCACACUGGGACUGAGACACGGCCCAGACUCCUACGGGAGGCAGCAAUGGGGAAUUUUGGACAAUGGGCGCAAGCCUGAUCCAGCCAUGCCGCGUGAGUGAAGAAGGCCUUCGGGUUGUAAAGCUCUUUCGGCUGGGAAGAAAUCGCACCCUCUAAUACAGGGUGUGGAUGACGGUACCAGCAUAAGAAGCACCGGCUAACUACGUG
rnacentral:rRNA from 1 species